rnacentral:ncRNA from 2 species
UUAAAUAAUAAUGAAAUAGGUGCCCUACGGGGCUUAAUAGGGAAGUUCGGUGCAAUGCCGACGCGGUCCCGCCACUGUAAUAGGGAGCAAAGCCAUAGGUGCCACUGGGGUAAGAUCCUGGGAAGGCUGGCAGAGCAAUGAACUAGAGCCAGGAGAACUGCCUAUUUGACAAUCACCGU